UGCAAUUCUGAGCCGGGCUGCCUGGGUUCACGUCUUGGACCUGCUAUUUUCUAGCUGUGUGAACUUGGCGACGGUGUUUGACUUUAUCGUGCUUCAAUUUCCUCAUCUAUAAAAUGGGGUUAAUAUCUACCUUGUAGGCUUGUUGUGAGGAUUAAAUGAGUCAACAUAAAUACAGUUUUUAAAACAAUGACUGGUGUAUUGUAAGCACCUAAUGAAUGUUAGCUACAAUGAAGAAAAUGACAAUACUUAUAAAGUACCUACCAGAGCUCCUAGUGAUAAUUAAUACUCAAAAAUAUUGGUAGCUGUCAAAUGUCAAGGAUGUCCACCAUCCAGACCCGUUGGAAUCACGGUCUAUUUACUCAUGAAAACAAAGAGGCUCCGAGAAGUCAAGAAAUGUGCCCAAGAUCGCCCAGCCAGAACAAAAACCCAGGUCUCAUGACUCAGACCAGAUUCUGUCCCCUGCACCAAGCUGAGGAGCUAGAGACUGAAGGCAGAGCACACUGAUCCAUGUCAAACAGCGGCUCGGCCUCCUCCCGCCCUUGUCUCCCCUUAGCUUUCAGGGAGUCCUCUCCCCAAGGAAAUGUCUUCUUGAUGCUACCGCUGCUUCUGUUUCAACUCGACUUCUGUCAGAGGGCCAGAGGAAAAAGCCAGAGCCCGAGCGAAAUAUGCCAAGUCAGGGAUGGUACCAUGCUGUCCCAGGGGGGAAAAGAGGCAGGACUGUCCUGCUCCCUCCUCCUACCUUCCCCUGGGAGACAGGGGGGUUCUCAGCUCCAUGCUAAUGCCUCCAGACAAAAUAGUUAGGGAUUUCCUUGCCAAGUGAUGAACCGAAAAAACAAACCCACACCAUACACAUACCCUACAUACCAGCCAUUCCUCGGAUGGUUGGCUUUGCAAGUGAUUGGCCACAGACUCCUCUGGCUCUCCAGGGGCAGAUGUCUAUCUGAGAGAGCAGGGAUGGAGACCGGGGGUGGAGGAAGUGGAGGAGGACCUGUGCUCCAGUUGCUGUCCCAGAGUUUAGAAACAGGACUGAGAUCUCUGCAAGUAUGUCUGUCACCAUUUUUCAUCCUCAUCAUGCAAGCCAUACACUGGAAUCCAGGCAUUACCAGCCUCACUUUUUAGAGGCUCCAUCCUGAGGCUGGCUCUGCUUGUGGUCAGAAGAGUCUUCUUCACUCAUCGCUGAUGUGGACAGAAAGGUUGAUGCCUCCAGCAGAUGUUUCCUCCAAGCUCCUUGGCCAGACCAGGAAAACAGGAAUGCCCUAUCUAUUAGCAUCUCACGGAACUACACUGCCCCCUGUGGCCAAAACCAGCCAGGAUGCAUAACAACAAGGACAACAAACUUGCCUACAAAGAGCCUUCCUUCCCAGGACCCAGGAAUAGCCCGUGAGCAGCAGAACUGCUUUGUCAGGAUCCAUCUACUCAGCAAAAAUGGGUCCCUCCAGGAUGCAAACCUGCAAGUGGGGCUGUCAGGUUGCUUCAUGGUACCCAAACAAAAUGCCCCAUCCAUGGGGUGAGCUGAUGGAGAGCUGGUGGGCGUGAAGAACCAGGCCCUGAGGCCUGAAGGAUUUGCUCAUCUCCUCUGCUUUCCUGUCCCCUCCCUCCUUUUGGAUGAAGUCCUGAUUCUGCAGAACACCAUGGGCCCUGCCGAGAGGCCUCUGCCUCUACUUGUCCCUCCAGUUUCAGGCCUCUUCGUGGUCCCCUGUCCACCGCCUCCUUCCUGCCUGCAUGCUCAGGCCCCAGACUAACCACUCCCAUUCUUCGAGAGCCUGCCCCUGCCCCCUCCUCCCUGAGAACCCAUCCCCGGCCGUCUCCCUCCGUGAUGCCCUGCGCCCUCCCAGCCUUUAGCCCAGCGGUGGGGCAACUUGCAUUGUCCUCACUUCCCUUGCCGGAGACUGCGUUCUCCAGGAAGGUCUGAGGUCUUGAAAGGGAAGGACUGUGCCUUUUAUUCUCUUUCCGUCUUCCCUCAAGCCCACGGAGUCCAGUCUGCCUCUCCCUUCCUGCUGCCCCGUGAACGCCCCUGCGACCUCAGGGUGAUGGGAACACAGGACAGAGGCCCUGGCUCAGGGCCCCUUCUUGCUCCAGGCUGCCCCAAGAUCCGGGCCACCACUAGAACAUGGCCAGCCUGCUGGGGAGACCGGAAAGCAUUUCUCCAGCAUUUGGUUCUGGGCUUCAUUGAAUCAAACUCUUCCUUCUAAAAAUAAGUCAUAGAGUCUCCUGAGGGAGAGGCCCAAGCAGGCAGGCAGCUCCUGAUGGAGCCGCCCGUGCUGGGGCCUGUCACCUGCUCCCAGGUGGCAGCCCCAGGGGCAGCUCUGCCCCCGCCCCCAGGUCAGCCCACAGCCCAGAGGGUGGGCGUGGGGGGCUCUCACCUGGGGAGUUCAGGCGGCAAACUGCUGCCAUCUUGUCCUGUUCAGGGCGGAGAAAGUGCAAACACACACAUGGUUAAGUUCUCCGAGGCAUUAGAGUCGCCCUUGAGCACUGGAGUUUCAGGCUCAGGGUAGAGCUGUGAUCUGAAAGAAAAAGACCCUAAACCAGGAUUUUGGAGAUGAUGGGUGAGAAUGAAGCCAAGACAGGUUCUCUGUCACCCACAUGUUAAAUAGCAAGCUCCUCGGCCGGGGUCUCGUUAGUGACCCUCAGGACCCCUCCCCCCACGCACACGUGGACUCAUCAUCCUCCCUCUUCCCAACUGCCCCCAGCCUGUCCCAGCCUCUGCCACACGCACACGCUGCUCCCUCUGUUCCGGGGUCCUUCUCCCCAUCUCUGCCUAAUGUCUAACCUAUCUGGCCAGGCUCAGACAGGUUCUCCAGAGACUGUUGGUUAAAACAUGAGCUUUGGUAACAAACUGGAGUGUGAGUCUCUGCUUUGCCACUCACUAGCUGGGUGACCUUAACGUAGUGGUUGGGAGAUCACAGUUCUGCUAGCUGCGUGGCCUUGGGCAAGUUACCUAACCUCUCUGUGCCUCAACAUUGUCAUCUAUAAAAUGAAGCUAAUAAAAGUGCCUAUGUGUUGUGCUUUC
ensembl:lncRNA